rnacentral:ribozyme from 1 species
UCUUCUUAUCUUAAAAAGGAAAAAAAAGAAAAAAAAAAAAAAAACCAAUAACAUUCCCUCAUUU